rnacentral:lncRNA from 1 species
GGUUGAAAAUGGUUAAGUGUAGGGACUUUAAAGGGGAUUUUUUUGUUUUGAAUGUGGUUUUGUUUUGAUACUUAGUUGCUUGAAAAUGGUUAAGUGUAGGAACUUUAAAGAGGAUUUUUUUGUUUUGAAUGUUGUUUGUUAGGUGACUUAGUUGCUUGAAAAUAGUUAACUUUAGGGACUUUAACGGGAAUUUUUUUGUUUUAAAUGUGGUUUAGUAGGUGACUU